GCAUGACAGAGUAGGUGAGACAUCCCGUCUAACGUGACAGAUCGAGAGGAAAAACAUAAGUAAAUAUCCUCGAUCGAUCUCUAACAUGUUCUAAGUCUAUUUUAGUAUUGUGGUUUUGGAGAAGACCGAAAAAAAAAUUGUGUCCUAACAUGUUUAGCCAUCUCUCUUUAGGGUCAGAGCCAUGGCUUUAAUGAUGUUUUUUUGUUCUUUUUACUACUGUUGUAUGUAUAUUUGGGGACUAGAUCUUGGGAGUUUUAGUCCCCUUAUUACUAAAGAGCUAAUAAUAUAAUUUCUUGAUCUGA